GACGAACGCUGGCGGCGUGCUUAACACAUGCAAGUCGAACGGAAAGGCCCUGCUUGCCGGGUGCUCGAGUGGCGAACGGGUGAGUAACACGUGGGUGAUCUGCCCCUUAUUUUGGGAUAAGCCUGGGAAACUGGGUCUAAUACUGGAUAGGACCAUGCUGUAGGUGGUGUGGUGGAAAGAUUAGUUUCGGUAAGGGAUGAGCUCGCGGCCUAUCAGCUUGUUGGUGGGGUAAUGGCCUACCAAGGCGUCGACGGGUAGCCGGCCUGAGAGGGUGGACGGCCACAUUGGGACUGAGAUACGGCCCAGACUCCUACGGGAGGCAGCAGUGGGGAAUAUUGCACAAUGGGCGCAAGCCUGAUGCAGCGACGCCGCGUGGGGGAUGACGGCCUUCGGGUUGUAAACUCCUUUCAGCCAUGACGAAGCCCUUGUGGUGACGGUAGUGGUAGAAGAAGCACCGGCUAACUACGU
rnacentral:rRNA from 1 species